CGCGGGGUGGAGCAGUUGGCAGCUCGUCGGGCUCAUAACCCGAAGGUCAUAGGUUCGAAUCCUAUCCCCGCAACCA
rnacentral:tRNA from 1 species